AUACUUAUCUGGCAGGAGAGAUGCCAUGAUCACAAAGGUGGUUUUCCCAGGUCCAGGCUUACCCAUUGCACUCCAGAUGUGCUGGCCCCUGUGAUUUCUCCCAGUGUGGGAAACUCGACUGCAUAAUCUGUGGUAGUGGGGGACUGUGUUCACUCUCUCCCCUG